rnacentral:rRNA from 1 species
AUUCCUUUAAAUAAUAAUUUUGAGUAGUAGUAGAGUUCUUGAAACUAAAAGAGUUUGGCGGUAUUUAAGUCUAUCUAGAGGAACCUGUAAUGUAAUCGAUAAUCCACGGGCAUCUAACUUAAUUUCCGUUUGUAUAUCGUUGUCAUCAGAAUUACCUAGAAAGGUUUUUUCAAGAUAUUUUGGUUAAAAUGUCAAAUCAAGGUGCAGUAAAUAUUUAAGGAUUUAUGGGUUACAAUGCUAAGAGGUAUACGGAUUGUUUUAUGAAAUUACUAUAUGAAGGAGGAUUUAGUUGUAAUACUCAAUAAUUAAGUGGGUAUGAAAUAGUACUGGAAUAUGC